CCUGGACGCUGCCCUUUCUAUCCUGCGGUCGAGAAACCACCUUGUGAAAAGCGCUGUGCAAGUGAUUCCAAGUGCCCAGGUCCAAAGAAGUGCUGUCCAGUCAUGUGCUCGAUGAAAUGCGUAAAUCCAGAUCUAUCAUAGUGAUGCGGAGCCUGAAAUCCCCAAAGCAUGAACCGUCUUCAGUUUGGAGAUCUAAACCGGGACCCAACAUGUGAAGGCCACCUCCACACAUAACACAUGGGCCGGAUCCAGCACAACUCCCUCUCCACAAUAAAGUUAUCCACACUU